rnacentral:rRNA from 1 species
UUGAUCCUGGCUCAGGAUGAACGCUAGCGGCAGGCUUAACACAUGCAAGUCGAGGGGUAUAGUUCUUCGGAACUAGAGACCGGCGCACGGGUGCGUAACGCGUAUGCAAUCUACCUUUCACAGAGGGAUAGCCCAGAGAAAUUUGGAUUAAUACCUCAUAGCAUAGCAGCUUCGCAUGAAGCCACUAUUAAAGUCACAACGGUGAAAGAUGAGCAUGCGUCCCAUUAGCUAGUUGGUAAGGUAACGGCUUACCAAGGCUACGAUGGGUAGGGGUCCUGAGAGGGAGAUCCCCCACACUGGUACUGAGACACGGACCAGACUCCUACGGGAGGCAGCAGUGAGGAAUAUUGGACAAUGGGCGCAAGCCUGAUCCAGCCAUGCCGCGUGCAGGAUGACGGUCCUAUGGAUUGUAAACUGCUUUUGCACAGGAAGAAACAACGCUACGUGUAGCGUCUUGACGGUACUGUGAGAAUAAGGAUCGGCUAACUCCGUGCCAGCAGCC